GACGAACGCUGGCGGCGUGCCUAAUACAUGCAAGUUGAGCGCUGAAGGUUGGUACUUGUACCAACUGGAUGAGCAGCGAACGGGUGAGUAACGCGUGGGGAAUCUGCCUUUGAGCGGGGGACAACAUUUGGAAACGAAUGCUAAUACCGCAUAAAAACUUUAAACACAAGUUUUAAGUUUGAAAGAUGCAAUUGCAUCACUCAAAGAUGAUCCCGCGUUGUAUUAGCUAGUUGGUGAGGUAAAGGCUCACCAAGGCGAUGAUACGUAGCCGACCUGAGAGGGUGAUCGGCCACAUUGGGACUGAGACACGGCCCAAACUCCUACGGGAGGCAGCAGUAGGGAAUCUUCGGCAAUGGACGAAAGUCUGACCGAGCAACGCCGCGUGGGUGAAGAAGGUUUUCGGAUCGGAAAACUCUGUUGGUAGAGAAGAACGUUGGUGAGAGUGGAAAGCUCAUCAAGUGACGGUAACUACCCAGAAAGGGACGGCUAACUACGUG
rnacentral:rRNA from 1 species